rnacentral:rRNA from 1 species
GACGUAGGGGGCCAGCGUUGUUCGGAAUUACUGGGUGUAAAGGGCGCGUAGGCGGCCACCGCAAGUCGGUUGUGAAAUCUCUGGGCUUAACCCAGAAAGGUCAACCGAUACUGCGGGGCUAGAGUGCAGAAGGGGCAACUGGAAUUCUCGGUGUAGCGGUGAAAUGCGUAGAUAUCGAGAGGAACACCUGCGGCGAAGGCGGGUUGCUGGGCUGACACUGACGCUGAAGCGCGAAAGCUAGGGGAGCGAACGGG